rnacentral:rRNA from 1 species
UACAGAGGUGGCAAGCGUUGUUCGGAAUUACUGGGCGUAAAGGGCGCGUAGGCGGCCAUCUAAGUCAGACGUGAAAUCCCCCGGCUUAACCUGGGAACUGCGUCUGAUACUGGAAGGCUUGAGUAUGGGAGAGGGAUGUAGAAUUCCAGGUGUAGCGGUGAAAUGCGUAGAUAUCCGGAGGAAUACCGGUGGCGAAGGCGGCAUCCUGGACCAUUACUGACGCUGAGGCGCGAAAGCUAGGGGAGCAAACGGG